UUUUCCAAGGUGACCUC
rnacentral:rRNA from 1 species